AUGAACAGAGGAGGACAGAACAAAAAUACAGGGUUGACAGACAAAAAGAAAUUUGAAAAUGGAGGGAAGGUUGACCGAGGUAAGGGCCUUGCCGUUUUCACUCUCGCUAUCGUCGCUUUCUUCAUUCUGCUCACGUUGUCGUUGAGUCUGUAUCUUCCAUCGCCACUUCAAUAUAGGGUUUUGAUAUCCGAAACCCUCGAAACACCAUCCAUCAUGCCAUCGCAUCUCCAUCAUCACCACUACUGUUGUUGA